CUUUGUUUGCCCAUGCCAAGCAUAGCAGCAGCUCAUAUAUUUAUAUGUGCCCAAAAAGAUUUCAAGUGUGCAGCUAAUUUGAUUAGAUUAUUUCCCACUCUUAUAAUAGGAUCUCAGAUUUAUAUUUGUUAAGCUUUUGAGAUUAAUUCUUGGAGUACUGAAGCCAUACCAUGCCUGCAAAAGAACAUUUAAGCUCAGCCCGGCUGCCUUCCAUUGGGAGAAAGAACUUCAAGACAGUGCUAAGUCCUCCUGGCAUUCUGAGUGUGCCAGAUACCUUUGCAUGGAGGGUGAAAGGCAGCCACGUCUGUGAGAUGACUGUAUUUGGAGCACAACUACUGGAUGUGAAAUGGAAAUUGAGAUGAUGAAGCUAGUAUUAAAACAUUCAUGAAAAUGUAUUUUUCAGUGGCAGAGGCCUUCAGAAGGCAGAUCAGAUCUUGGUCAGUCUAAUACGAAGAUUUCAACCUUCUCUGUUUCUUCUCCCACAACAUGUUCUUUGAUUCCACCAAGUCUGAGGAAGAGCUCCAGAGAAUUUGAAACCCUGCACUUUUUAUGGGCUACUUUUGCUUUGUUUGGAGCUUUUUAUGCUCUUAUGAGGGUGUAAAUCUGGCUUCAAGCCCCUUAUGGCAACUCCAUUAAUUUCAUAAGGAAUUUUCAAAAGGGUGUUUUGCAUUGACUUCAUCUGCAAUAUAGACUACUGCAUCUGAUAUUCCUUGAUGGCCCCUCACCCAAACAAAAACCGGGCUGGACUCUCCUUAGCUCCAAUAUCAAAUAGGUUGUUGUCUUCAGGUAAUUUAGGUCUGUUUUUCAUGUUUUGUACUGACAUACCUUGACAUAGAGCUCCAUACCUAUGAUAAAAUCACCUACCCUCAAAUAGGUGAUAUGCCAAAAAUCCAAAAGCUUGAGUCAAUUUUUCUUACUUGUACAGCACUUAAGCCUUGAGACUGUCAAAUAAUAAAGUAGAAACUAGAAAAAAAUGAUGAGUAGUUCCCACAACUAACUUCUACCGUACUCAUAUCCAGAUAUUCAUGUAGGGGCUAUUGCAGACAAUAGUUAAUAUAUGCUUCUGAGAAGUCAUUGGUUUCCACCAGCGAAUUCUAAUUCAGCGGAAUUCAGUUGCAGUAUGAGGUCAUAAUGACUUUGAGCUAUUCUGCUAUCAUUCUGCUUCUGGAAUAGUUUGCACCUAAUAUUCCUUGAGUGGAACUCCCUUCAGAUCACAGAGCUUAUCCACAUCAUCCCCAUCCCUCAGAGCCCCUUAAACCUGAAGGUCAGUGGAGAGAAAACCUGAGAUGCAAGGAGAAUGUAGGAGAUGGACAAUCCGGUCCCCUGAUGUCACUAGCAUGCUGCCACAGAAGCACCCGGACCACACUGUACAAGAUGAACUUUUCCCCUUUAGGGAUUGGCUUGGAAAAGUUGUCCAUUCCAAAAGGUUGUCCAUUCCAAAAAGAGAAGUAAGCACCUGUAUGUCAAUCCACAGCAUGAAAAAAAAAGUCAAUUUAAAUAGAGCCAUUCAUUUUUCUUCGUCUUCUUCAAGUUACAAUAAAUCUUUUACAGCUUC